rnacentral:rRNA from 1 species
CGGAGGGUGCAAGCGUUAUCCGGAUUCACUGGGUUUAAAGGGUGCGUAGGCGGGCAGGUAAGUCCGUGGUGAAAUCUCUGAGCUUAACUCAGAAACUGCCAUGGAUACUAUUUGUCUUGAAUAUUGUGGAGGUAAGCGGAAUACGUCAUGUAGCGGUGAAAUGCUUAGAUAUGACAUAGAACACCAAUUGCGAAGGCAGCUUACUACACAGUUAUUGACGCUGAGGCACGAAAGCGUGGGGAUCAAACAGGAUUAGAUACCCUGGUAGUCCACGCCCUAAACGAUGAUUACUCGACAUCAGCGAUACACUGUUGGUGUCUGAGCGAAAGCAUUAAGUAAUCCACCUGGGAAGUACGACCGCAAGGUUG